ACGGGUGAGUAACGCGUGGAUAACCUGCCGUAUACAGGGGGAUAACACUUAGAAAUAGGUGCUAAUACCGCAUAAGCGCACGGUUCCGCAUGGAACAGUGUGAAAAACUCCGGUGGUAUACGAUGGAUCCGCGUCUGAUUAGCCAGUUGGCGGGGUAACGGCCCACCAAAGCGACGAUCAGUAGCCGGCCUGAGAGGGUGAACGGCCACAUUGGGACUGAGACACGGCCCAAACUCCUACGGGAGGCAGCAGUGGGGAAUAAUGCACAAUGGGGGAAACCCUGAUGCAGCGACGCCGCGUGAGUGAAGAAGUAUCUCGGUACGUAAAGCUCUAUCAGCAGGGAAGAAAAUGACGGUACCUGACUAAGAAGCCCCGGCUAACUACGUGCCAGCAGCCGCGGUAAUACGUAGGGGGCAAGCGUUAUCCGGAUUUACUGGGUGUAAAGGGAGCGUAGACGGCAGCGCAAGUCUGGAGUGAAAUGCCGGGGCCCAACCCCGGAACUGCUUUGGAAACUGUGCAGCUCGAGUGCAGGAGAGGUAAGCGGAAUUCCUAGUGUAGCGGUGAAAUGCGUAGAUAUUAGGAGGAACACCAGUGGCGAAGGCGGCUUACUGGACUGUAACUGACGUUGAGGCUCGAAAGCGUGGGGAGCAAACAGGAUUAGAUACCCUGGUAGUCCACGCCGUAAACGAUGAUUACUAGGUGUCGGGGGGCCAAGGCCCUCCGGUGCCGCCGCAAACG
rnacentral:rRNA from 1 species